GUGCAGACGAGGAAUGCAGUGUGCUCCUGUGCCGGGGCAAAGCUUUCAGCGAUUUCACCGGACCAGACUGUCGGUUUCUGUCAUUUAAAAAAGGAGAGACUAUAUAUGUCUACUAUAAACUCUCAGGCCAAAGGACAAAUAUAUGUGCAGGGAGUGACCAACUCGUAAUCAAUCACAUAUACACUGAAAAAGAAUUGGAGAUUCCUGCUGAGGAAACCGACAUUGUUUGCUUUGACACUGGACACGAUAAGUUUGACAGUUACUGUCACAAUUCCAGUGGUGGAAACAAGAGUCAGGUGCAGAGAGCAGGAAUCUCUUUCAAAAAGUGGAAUUUUAUUUCCUUAACGUAAUCACCUAACAACCGGUGACGCCACACUAAACACUGGGCGCGUAAAGAGAAAUGUCCAAAGUCAAUUGAAUAACAAAAUCCACAAAAUACACACCACAAACACGAAACAGAAAAAACAAGCCCGCACAAAAGGGAGCGGGCAAACUGGGUUUAAAUAACCCCUAAUCUAAACACACAACAGGUGAAACAAAUUAGACAAACUAAAAGGAAAACAGAAAAGGGGAUCGGUGGCAGCUAGUAGACCGGAGACGACGACCGCCGAGCGCCGCCCGAACGGGAAGAGGCACCAUCCUCGGCGGGACUCGUA